rnacentral:rRNA from 1 species
UUGGAGGGCAAGUCUGGUGCCAGCAGCCGCAGUAAUUCCAGCUCCAAUAGCGUAUAUUAAAGUUGUUGCAGUUAAAAAGCUCGUAGUUGAAUUUCGGGGUUAGUAGGUUGGUCAUGCCUCUGGUAUGUACUGGUCUCACUGAUUCCUCCUUCCUGAUGAGCCGUAAUGCCAUUAAUUUGGUGUUGCGGGGAAUUUGGACUGUUACUUUGAAAAAAUUAGAGUGUUUAAAGCAAGCUAACGCUUGAAUACAUUAGCAUGGAAUAAUGAAAUAGGACGUUCGAUCCUAUUUUGUUGGUUUCUAGGAUUGACGUAAUGAUUAAUAGGGAUAGUUGGGGGCAUUAGUAUUCAAUUGUCAGAGGUGAAAUUCUUGGAUUUAUUGAAGACUAACUACUGCGAAAGCAUUUGCCAAGGAUGUUUUCAUUAAUCAAGAACGAAAGUUAGGGGAUCGAAGACGAUCAGAUACCGUCGUAGUCUUAACCAUAAACUAUGCCGACUAGGGAUCGGAUGAUGUUAAUUUUUUAAUGACUCAUUCGGCGCCUUACGGGAAAC